UUUCUGUCGAAGGAUUCGUCUGGGGUCCAGUGGGUCAGCGUGGCUGACAGCUUAGAGAUUGAUAGUUGAGAUCUUUCCCAGGCGGAACAGUGUUGGACAGCAUGACCAGUGAUCCAAGACACCAGCGGAACAGGGCGGAGGUGAUGCGGCUGCAGAUGCAUUAUAUCCCACAGUGAAGGGAUUGCUGAACUGUGCUCAGUACUUGAAGGCUUGGACGUAAAGCACUGGGAAGCCAUCAGAGUCUCAAGAUUGGUGAAUUUUCAUGGUUCAAGCUGACAUUCUGGUGAAGGACGAGAUAUGUUUGGGGAGAGUUAUCAGGGCCUACGCAGACGCAGAACAAAUUUAGUCUCCCUUGACUGUUUCAUUCAUCACCAGAUGAUGGAUAUUUAU